rnacentral:rRNA from 1 species
GACGAACGCUGGCGGCGUGCUUAACACAUGCAAGUCGAACGGAAAGGCCCUGCUUUUGUGGGGUGCUCGAGUGGCGAACGGGUGAGUAACACGUGAGUAACCUGCCCUUGACUUUGGGAUAACUUCAGGAAACUGGGGCUAAUACCGGAUAGGAGCUCCUGCUGCAUGGUGGGGGUUGGAGAGUUUCGGCGGUUGGGGAUGGACUCGCGGCUUAUCAGCUUGUUGGUGGGGUAGUGGCUUACCAAGGCUUUGACGGGUAGCCGGCCUGAGAGGGUGACCGGCCACAUUGGGACUGAGAUACGGCCCAGACUCCUACGGGAGGCAGCAGUGGGGAAUAUUGCACAAUGGGCGGAAGCCUGAUGCAGCAACGCCGCGUGCGGGAUGACGGCCUUCGGGUUGUAAACCGCUUCCGCCUGUGACGAAGCGUGAGUGACGGUAAUGGGUAAAGAAGCACCGGCUAACUACGUG